rnacentral:rRNA from 1 species
AUGGACAUGGUAGGCUAUAAAAUCCAUGGCCACUGGAUGCGUACACCUACUUGGCAUAUGGCGCCGCCAAGCUCCCGCCAAGCAGUCCCGCUGCUUCUGCUUCUCCUGCUGCAGCUCUCUGCCGCCGUCGCGUCCUUCUCCGGCUACAGCUACUACAGCUUCCCGGUGUUCGACGGCAAGGCGACCACCGACGGCGUCGUGGUGGCCACCAACUCCUCCAUGCUGGCACCGGCCACGUUCCUCUUCGACGCGCAGAUCUUCCCGGAGUUCAACCAGUCCGAGGGCUUCGUGCUCCUCUACCGCCCCGUCGCGCUCUGGCGCGUCGCCCCGGACGACGACGACGUCCGCGAGGAGGCGUCCUUCAACACGACCUUCACGCAGGAACGAGAGGCACGGGCCCCGCCGCGGAACGAACGGCUCGGCCUUGCCCGCCGCCUUGCUGAGCGCCACCAACGGCCUCUUUGCCGUUGA